GUAAGUUUGGAUUCAAGAAUAUUUUAAAAUAUUUUUUCGAAGCAUGAAAAUAAAAUUAUGCUUAAUCAAUCUUGAAAUUUAUCUGCAGCUUAUUACUUGAAUCCGAGAUUUCAGUAUACUAUUACGGGGAUAGAUAUGGAUAGCGAGCUUCUUACUGUUCUUCGCAAUGUCAUAUAUAAGAUGGUGCCCGAUCCAGAAAUCGCGUCGUUGUAUCUGCAAGAGGUAUGCUAGUUUAAAAUAGAUAUAAUUAUUCAACUGAAUUCGAUCUGAUAUAUUUAUAAAUAAUAAAUAUAUUUUAUUUCAGACGAAACAGUUUAGAGAGGGAUCAGACAGUUUUGGAGUCCCAUCAGUUGUCGUAAGCAAAAAGCAGAUGAAUCCAGGU
rnacentral:lncRNA from 1 species